rnacentral:tRNA from 1 species
AAUAAUGAAGUAAAAUUUACAUUUAGUUUCGACCUAAAAUUAAGGUAUCUUACCCUUAUUU